rnacentral:rRNA from 1 species
GUCGAGAAUCUUCGGCAAUGGGCGAAAGCCUGACCGAGCGACGCCGCGUGGAGGAAGAAGGCCCUCGGGUUGUAAACUCCUGUUGGGGGGAAUCAAAUCAUGAGAGAACCCCUGAGGAAGCACGGGCUAAGUUCGUGCCAGCAGCCGCGGUAAGACGAACCGUGCGAACGUUAUUCGGAAUCAUUGGGCUUAAAGAGCGCGUAGGCGGCGUCGUAAGUUAGAGGUGAAAUCCCAUCGGCUCAACCGUGGAACUGCCCCUAAUACUGCGAUGCUUGAGGGAGGUAGGGGCAUGUGGAACUUCCAGUGGAGCGGUGAAAUGUGUUGAGAUUGGAAGGAACGCCAGUGGCGAAAGCGACGUGCUGGAUCUCUUCUGACGCUGAGGCGCGAAAGCUAGGGGAGCGAACGGGAUUAGAUACCCGGGUAGUCC